UUCAUAAAUUGGAUCAGUUAUUUGAAUUUGGAGGUCAAUUGAUUUCUUCACAAAAGAAUUGGUUUAUUGCCUACACUGAUUAUGAAGAAGAUAUAAUACUUGUUGGUGAUGAUCCAUGGGAGGAAUUUGUUGUAAUGGCCCGUAAAAUUUAUAUCUACACCAAAGACGACGACAUUCAGGAAAUGAGGUAUGAUGAAAGAUCAAUUAAAAAAAUGCAAAAGCAGGAGAAUGAAAAGUUUUACAAGCAAUUCCAUGGUCACAUACACAGGAAUGAUGAAAGAUUGCAUGAAGGAUCAGAUAAUGAAAUGCAGAAUCAGAAGAAUGACACUUUAUGUAAGCAAUUUCGAGGAAAACAGCAGAUAAGUGAUUCAGG